AGUACAGGACGUAUAAUACGAUUAAUGCUGGCCAGCGAUGAUGUGACUGCUUCAAUGUAAGAUAAUCUGCAAAAAUGGCUAUGCUGCAUUUACUCAUAUAUACUGUCAAAUACCCAAUACAGGUUAAGUGUGCAGAACAAAUUUAAAUUACACGAAUUUACGCUGUCUUAAUUAUCAGAGCGAUUUUUAUACAUCGUGUCAUAUUUAUUGGCAGAAUUGUAUGUGUCACAAUUUCAGAAUGUUCACAGGAUAAGUAUGGCUUACAAUGUGGAAAGUAUUGCAAUCUGCGACACUGUCUUGGAAGUUCAUCUUGUGAUCACGUUACUGGAAAAUGUGACCUUGGCUGUGAUCGAGGAUAUUCGUUUGACAAUUGUGCAAUGCCAUGUGAUAGAGGAUCCUAUUGCGCUGGUUAUAGCUUCAAUUGUUCACAAAGACGCUGCAAAGUGAGUACGACAAUGCUGAUGGUUCCUGUGAAGGUUUGUGCCUGGGAGGAUGGAUGGGAGUCGACUGUGCAGAUUGUGAUUCCAAUCAGUUCGGUGUGAACUGUGAAUCUGUGUGUGCACACCGACAUUGCAAGGGAGAACAACUCUGUCAUCAUGAAUUGGGAUACUGCAAUGGAGGGUGUUUGCCAGGGUGGACAGGACUUACAUGUGUUGAAGUGGCAAAUUGUGAAAGACGGUCGUGGGUGUAAAAAUCAGCCAGCACGAAAAAAGACUUUGAAGGCCAGAAUGGAGAUUUUUUUUGUCAUUUUCUGUGCGUUUUCAUUUGGACAAUGAAGAAGAUUUCAAAUUCUAACUGCAGGAGGAGAAAUGUUUUUGGAGAGAGUUACUCUACUGAUUCCAUCAAGCACGUGUAAGAACACGUGGUGUUGUAUAAUACAGGUUAUGACAGCUUGACGUGUACCACAAGGGGGAAAUUCGUCUACAGUCCUCAAUAUGGAUACCUAAAGACUUCAGCCAAGUGUUGAAUAAUUUAUAAAACAAUGCGUUGCAACCGAACAUCGCAAGUGUGAACGUGACGGAAAGUGUUAGUAACGGUCGCGCAGUCGUGCGCUUCUCCAAAUGUGAACACGUGCUCAUCAAAUAUAAGAGAAACAAAGGACACACCUUCCGGAUUCCAGUGUAAGUUAU